AAAAAUAUGAAGCUGCUUUAGCUGAUCAACUAGUAGGCAAGAGGAGAAACAGCUAGAAAGAAGAUAUUAUCUCAGGAUUCCGUUGUGUUCAAAGAGAUUAUCAGCACUAUCUCAUCAAUGGAAAAAGUCGUUAUACGUCACCGGGUAGAAACUCCAAUACGAUAUCAGGAGCACUUUCCUGAUCAAGAUUUGGAAGCUUGGAAAUUAAACCACUCCUUGUUUGCAUUGCCAAGUCCAGCAGGGCCCGCAAAGAUAAGGAACAUACAGGCAUCCAAGAGUGCGGCUGAAACGGAGCAGAAAAGCACAGAUGAAGCAACCACCAAUUUUCAAGUCUUACUAGAUGUAGUGCAGUUUCGUCCUGAAGAUGUCAUAAUACAAGUCUUCGAAGGGUGGCUCCUAAUCAAAGCUCAGCAUGGACCCAGGAUGGAUGAACAGGGCUUUAUAGCAAGAAGCUUCACUAGGCAAUAUAAAUUGCCAGAUGGCAUUGAAAUGAAAGAUCUGAACGCUCUCUUCUGUCACGAUGGCAUUUUAGUCAUUGAAACUAAGACAUUUGGCAGUAAAUAAAUUCUUGACCGUUUUGUUACUGGUGAGACAAUCUUAUUCCUCCUUCUAAUGUUGAGCAUGCAUAUUUGCAGUUAAAGCAAGCUUUCACAUCCUUUUAUUCAGUUUGUUGAAAAAAAACCAUUUGAUGAGCUUGUUUGCAUGACGUGAGAGACAAUAUUUUUCUCCUUACAACUGCAUGCAGACUUUCUUAACAAUUUGACAGAAUAGAGCUUAAAAGGAAACACGGCAGAUAUAAAAUAACAUAUAGAUCUACAACAGAGAAUGAAAAUUGAAGACUGCAUUUAAGGUCUCGAAGCUUUAUACUGAAGGAAAAAGUUAAUUAAAUGGUCUGCUGUAUAAGUUUCGCCGCAAAGCAGUUCAUACUCCUGAAGAAACAGGGCUACCAAUCUAAAUAAUGCUAAACAGUCCCAAAUAUAUGCAAAUAUGUUAUUUAUUGCAUGUAACAAUUCAACUUCAAAGAAUUAUUGUUUCCCCAAAAUAUUUUUUGUAUGUGUUUCUUUGAAUACUUGAGUAUUCUGAUUUUGGUAGAUAACAGCUGUUUAAAUCUGACUGCCUUUUUCCAAGCAUAGUUAUGAUAAGUACCAGUAUUAUUGCCAUUCUAAGUAUAGUCAAAGAAUUCAGAAAAAGAUCCAAGCUAAAUACAGGCUUUUAUUAGAGGCAUAUUUGUAGACUCUGAAAAAAAGAACAAAGUUGCCGUUGAUUUAUCUAUGUUUCAAAAUAUUUUUAAAAGACCAAGUCUUGAUCUAGAAAUACUGAUCAAAGAGUUCCAUUAACACCGGCUAUGGUUUCUGUUAGAUUAUCUCUUGGGAGAGUGAAAAGGGAAAAAAAAAACUUUAAGGGUCCUGAAAUCCACAGUUCCUUCUCUUAGGGAUGAUCAGUAUGGAUACAGGGCUGACUGAUUCUUCAUUAAAGGCCUCCCACAGUUCCACUUAGUACUUCCAUGGUUUAUAUUUCAAUGGAAUGAUGUUCAAAUAGGUAUAUCUUUUACCAAUGUAUCAUUGGUUGGGCUUGGCCAAAAGAAAGUUGAAUUUCAUUUUGCUUAAGAACCAUUUUGUAUACUUUCUCCACUUUACUUACACAUUUACAGAUGAUGUUCUAAUUGUGCACUUAGGAAGACAGCUUUGUAUUUAUAUUGUAGGAUACCAUCUAAGAAAAGAAAUCACACUGGUGUGUUGAACAAAAACAACACCAAGACAAAAUGGAAAAUAGCUCAUCAUCAUCAUCAUCCUUUAUAUUAAUAGCAUCUUUAAAUGCCUUGUUUCUAAAUCUGCUUUUAAAAAUAAUAUAUGGCUACUUGGACACACGUAGACAUAUAAUCUGCUAAUAAAAAUUAUUUAUUAUAACAGAUAUAAUAUUGUUGGAAAAAUGAUGCAAAAUUUAUGUUUAGAAAUAUUAGGCUUAUAUUUCUGAAUUUUGUCAAGGGCAAAACUGCUACAUAGUCAGCAAUGCUUUUGUAAUUAAAUGAUGUAUUUGUUUACAAGGAUGUCCAGCUUCUAAGUCUCUGAGUGGUAGCAAAAUAGUUAUUGACAAAACAAGAAACAUAUUGUAUUAUUUAUAGUUACGUUUUUCUUCUGAUUUCAUUAUGUCUAAUGUUUUGCUGAUAUUUCUGUAUUCUGUUUGCUAUACAUUGUGAUUAUUUCUAUAAUUUGUUACAACCUCAUAAAAUAACUAUUAUAGAAUAUAUAAUAUAUAUAAUAUUAUAGACUAUUUGAAAGUAUAACUACUACUUGUGACAAGGUAGUAAUCUGUUAAGAUACAGAGAUAUAAGAGACAUGCAAAAAGCUACUAAUACUGUUUAUGAACAGAAGUGAGAUCAUGUUAUUAGUACCGUGUCACUGCAUGAUAUGCAUUUCUUCACCAAAUUUAUUAAGAUCCCCUUCUCCACAAUGACUCGUGAUAUUUCAGAAACCAGAGAUCUCAGAGUAAUAAUCAGUACCCUGAUUUGCAUUCAGAAGCAGCAGAACACAAAUGUUAUGAUGGUUUGCCCAUAAUUGCCCAUUCUGAACUAACUGCAGCUUUCAUAUAGUUUUCAGGGACAGCCACAAGUAAAUUGCAUUCCAAUAUCCAAACAUGAAGUAGCCAAGUAACCAUAUGGCAUAAUGCAACACAGAAAUAUACUUUUGAAGCUGCAUGUUAAAUUUCUUCAACUGCUUUGGGCAUAAAUAAAAUCCAUAUUUCAUUAAAUAAAUUAAAAGCAGAUUUGUAUAAGUUAAAGAAUUCACAAAAACCACUCUAUAAAUACAAGAUUAUUUCUUGAUCUGAAUGUUAAUAUUUCUUUUGGCAAAGUUCACCUUGCAUCUAUUAUUACCUUUGUUAAAAAUGCAAACUUUAUGAACAGUGAAAUACCAGUUCAAACCAUACAGAGAAAAACAUGUUUAUUAUGAAUAAGGGAAUCAGUUCCAAUCCUAUUUAAGUACAGUAAGUACAGAUUUUUUUUAUAUCAUCACUUCAAAAAAUUACUUCCUUAUCAGCAAUCAAUUCACUCCUAUUCAACCACUUAUCUCACUUCAGAAAAUUAAAUAGUCUCCAAAUUGAUUCAGGUUAAUUUGAUUCAGAAAUUUGAUCAAACUGACUUUGAAUAUAAUCUCCAAAACAAUGAUAUGCACUAUAUGCACUUCAUCCUAUUUAUCUGUAAGUUAUUUUAAUUAUGUCAGCCAGUUUGAUGUAGUGGUUAAGGCAUCAGCCUAGAAACCAGGAUACUAUGACUCUCCCCUAGACACAAAUCCAUCUGGGUGAUCUUGGGCCAGUCACUUUCUCUCUGAUCUAGGAAGAAGGCAAUUUCAAACCAUUUCUGAAAUCUUGCCAAGAAAACUGCACAGACUUGUGCAAGGAAUCUCCAAGAUUCAGACAGGAUUGAACAGCAGGGUUUUUUUUAAUUAAAUCACCAUUCAUUUGUUACAUGGCAGCAAUUUUAUAGAAUUGUAUUUAACUCUUCAGCAGAUGCGUACUGUUAAUGCUUUUAGCUUUUUUUGUUGUUGUUGUUCUGAAUUCUUUUCAAUUUUGGUGACCUGAGCCUGGAGCCAGCCCGGAGCCAGCCCUGUGGUGAGAUAAGCUAAAGACUGCAAGUUGUAUCACAAAAGUUGUUAUUCAAUUUUGCCUAGUUAUGAGGCAUGCUUGGUGAAACUUUUGCAUUUUUAUAACCCUGAGGACAAAUCUGGAAAUAGGUUAAGAUUUGCCUCAUACUCCAAAUAAAAAUUUGCAUUCCUCUUUGCUUGUAAUGCUGUGUCAUGAUCAGACUUGCAAAAAAAAUUAAACAAAAGAUUUGGAAAACUGUAAAGAUUUCUAUCUUGAAGCACCUCAAAGACUACAUCAUUCCAGUGUAUACUGUUUAAUUGAAACAAUCCCUGAAAGCAUUUUUCUAUGACAUCUGCUGAAGCUUGUUUAUAUUCCAAAUAAGGAAAUUGGCAAUGCAAGUUCUCUUCUCCCACAUAUAUGAUUUGAAUUUGUUCCAGAGCAUCUUGGCAGGCACCAGCUCUUUCUAUCUUGUUUAGUCUUGAGUGAUUAACAAAAUUUUCAUUUGCCCCAUUUAUUUAUUUAUUUAUUUAUUUAUUUAUUUUUAUUUAUAUGCCGCCCAAUCCCAAAUUUUUUGCCGGUAAUGGCGAAAAAGCUCUGAUACAUUGCAUGAGUUUGACAUGUCUGGGAUAGAGUAUGAGUUUGAACUGAAAAGACUAGCAGUCUUAGGCAGUCAAACAACAACUCUGUAUUAAUACUGUAGUCUGAGCAGAGGAAAGUCCCGAGCAUGUGAUGAAAUGUGCCUAUUUGGAAAAUAGAUCAACCACAGUCCAUAUUAUAGUGUUUCCCUUGCUCUCAGGUAAUUCCACUAUAAAAUCCAUGGCCAGGAUUGAGAGGGAUCAGCCAUCUGAUACAAACAGAGUUUUUAGUUUUUCAAACACUGCAAUGGCUGACAAGAACCACAGGAGAAGGAGCUGCCCUGGGGGUCUCUUUACCAUGAAAGAAGAAACAGAAAAGGAAGAAGAAAGAAACUGCUUCUAAAGUUUUCAGACAUCUCCUCAAAAUAUCAGAAUCAAUAGAGAACAAAAUAAUUAGUAUUUCUACUUAAUAGCAUUCUUCAAAAACAGACUGCAAGUAUUGUUUUCAUAGCUGGUGAGGGAAAUAAACUGCAUUUUGGCACAUCAUCCUUGUCAAAAGUUGGCAAGAUUGUAUCUGGAGCCUUCUGAACAGUUAUCAAAGCUCUCUUUUUAGACUUGUGCAGAUCUAUCAGCAGCUAAAUAUUCUGGCCAUGCAAUAAUUUGGAAUAACAUCUGAGAUUUUGCCAACCAAGAACAAAUUUUCCUUGAAAACAUGGGAUUUGUUCAGAUUUUAUUAAAUAUGUAUUUAGGAAUAAUUACUCUUACAAGGAUCAUUUUCUUUAUAUUUUGAAUAUUGCAAAUUGUAAAACCCUGCUUAAUGGUGAAAUAAUUAAAUUCUAAACUUCUUUCUUUCAAAGUAACCAACUUCUCCAUGAAAAUGCAGGCUUUAAUUUUAUUGAUUUAAAAUUAUAUUAUUUGGAAUAUGUUUCUGGUCUUUUUUUUGUAUUGGAAAAGAAAAUAUAGUUAUUAUAUAUUGUCAAAGGUCCAAUUGGACAAGCUUUUAUUUGAUCCUUUUGAAAUUUUGGAAAGUACUUUGUAGUCAGAACCCUAUUGUAUUUAUAACACUGAAGCUGGUUAGGCAUAUUCGAUGAUAUCAGAUAAGAUACAAUUAAAUUCUUAUUCCUGCUUUCACAAAAAACUAACCCUUAUUUAAAAAUGGCAACCUUACAAAAAAAAAGUAAAAGAGGAGGGGUAAAAAUGGGAUAAUAAAUUCUAAACAGCUAAAUCAAACAUGUCAAACUUGAGACAUCACGUGACGUCACACAAUGUAUCGAGACGGUUUUGCCAUUGCCGGCAAUGGGGUGGGCAUGGCUUCCAUAUGACGCAUCUGGCACGCGGGCCGGCAGUUUGACACCUCUGAGCUAAAAUUGCUGAUACAUUUAAAACUUUUGAAAAGAUAUACAUAUAAUUUGUCAGUAAUUGCUACAAUUCAUUUAAAUGAUAAUUCAGUUUUAUUCACAACUGCAAAAUGUCAUUAAAUAUAUAUAUGAUAAUACUGCUUAUUUUACAAAAGCAAUGGUCUGAAGAUUCAAAAAAGAUAAAUAUAUCUUACCACAUUAGAAUGAAUUUAAUUCGUCAAAAAUGCUCAGUUCUAAGGAAUUCAACAGUUUGUUACAAUAUUGAUUGCCCAUCUUCUUAUGCUGGAGAUGCAACAGAUUUUUGCAUUAAUAUUCCUACUUUUGAUAGUUACUUUUCAGCUGAAUAUUCCUACUAUUGUAAAUUAGGUACUUGGUAGGAAGUUGUGAUUUAAAGAUGUUGAUAUGUUGAUAAAUUAUAUUCCCCAAAUUUGGAAUUUGUCUAUCUAUGAACUUUCUAUUGAAUGUACUUAGACUAUUCCCAAAACGGUCAUCAUGUGUUCUUGGAAAAAUGCUAACAUACUAGAUGCCAAACAUUGGCUUAAAAAUGUGCCAACUCUCAGCCUUUGAACUGGUUCUUGAACAGUGUUAAAAAGCAUUGGACAAUAUGAUUCCUGUGGUCACGGUCCAUUAAAUUGUUCAAAAACUGUAUUGUAGAAAUGUUUAUAUAACUAUACUAAUAUUGUUGUAUCUAAUGUCUUAAAUUCCUGUUUGCUCCUUAUUUGUUAUCUUAUUCAAACCAUUCAAUUAAGGAGAAUUAAAAUUAGAUGAUCAUGUAAUGUAUAUUCAGUGUUCUGAUAUGCUUUUAUGGUUUUUAUUGCUUAGAAUAGAGCUGCCUCUAAUCUCUUAAACAGGCAACAUAUAAUACAAAUAAAUAAAAGAGAAACUUUA